UACGGGAGGCAGCAGUGGGGAAUAUUGCACAAUGGGCGCAAGCCUGAUGCAGCCAUGCCGCGUGUAUGAAGAAGGCCUUCGGGUUGUAAAGUACUUUCAGUCGUGAGGAAGGUGUUAAGGUUAAUAACCUUAGCAAUUGACGUUAGCGACAGAAGAAGCACCGGCUAACUCCGUGCCAGCAGCCGCGGUAAUACGGAGGGUGCGAGCGUUAAUCGGAAUUACUGGGCGUAAAGGGCACGCAGGCGGUUAAUUAAGUUGGAUGUGAAAUCCCCGGGCUUAACCUGGGAAUGGCAUUCAAGACUGGUUAGCUAGAGUCUUGUAGAGGGGGUAGAAUUCCAUGUGUAGCGGUGAAAUGCGUAGAGAUGUGGAGGAAUACCGGUGGCGAAGGCGGCCCCUGGGACAAAGGCUGACGCUCAUGUGCGAAAGCGUGGGGAGCGAAAC
rnacentral:rRNA from 1 species